UUUGCUAAUCAGCCUCUAUUUUUAAAUAAACUUUUACUGUCCAAAAAAAUGUUUUAUGGUUUCAGGUAUAAGCUUAUUAAAUUAGAACUGCGGAAUUCAACUAUACUGUAAACCCCCAUUAAACAAUGAAAUACAAUACUAGACUUUAUGGUUCUACCGAUUUCCUGAAGCAAUUAAGAAACACAGCCUUAUAGAAAAGAUUGCGUAGGAAUAAAUGAUGAUCCCCUGGGGACUCCAGGGACAAAUAUUUCGGAGGCCUACGUAGAUUUAGACUAAAAUUUGGCAGACCCAGCAAGUGUCGACCCCGGAAAACUGUCCCCUAAUAGAGUAAGACGCCAAGCGCACGGCCGUUCGAUGUCCGUGCAAAGCUCACUAGACCCGUACGGUUCGAACACAACCCUCAGCAGUAGCGGAUCUAGUGAGCUAGCUUCUUCAGAUGGCAAGCAUUCGUCUAACUAACAAAUAGCCAGCGGCGCGCCGCCUUCUACUGCUCCUUCAACCGCUCAUUCUUCACCCGCACACGUCUUCACCUUUACUAUCGUGCUCAAAAAGAUAACACCUCUACUUUAAUAUCCUGUUGUCCGAAACUCGCCCUUUGAAAAUUGACGCGCUGAUAACCAACGGUAAAAACUCUAUUUUUGUAAGCACCACCCAGAACGGGACGUGAGAACAGUUUUUGCGCGUGGUUUUGAAAAGGGUUAGCCCAGUUCUCGACCGCUAUGUUCAUUCUUGUUUAACAAUAUUUUCAUGCAGUACUUAUAAAAAUAUGUACAUAAUAUAAAACUAUGGUGCCAUAUUGUUGUUAAAUGACUGAAUUAUCCAAACACAAUUUUGUUUGUGUACUCACUGUGAUCUAGAGUAGUUGGUUCAAGUUUAACUCGGUAUCAGUUGAAAAGUGUUCAUUAUUUUUAAUAUUGUUGGAGCGUUCCACGUUUAAAUUAUGACAAUCCGUUGUUGAAAGUUACUGUUAAAUUUUCUUGUAAGAUUUUAUUGUUGUAAAAGAUUUAAAUGAAUAUAAAUAAUACUUAAAUGACAAACUGCAUGAUCAUAUUCAGGAUACUUGUUAACUUAUACUGAAGAACCUUUACUUUUAUCUGUACCAGUUGAAAUUGUGCUCAGUUAUAAAGUCCAAUAUGGUGAGAAUCGUAUUUGGAAUACCUAGUUAAAACACCAGUGUAACAUCUUCCCUCAUACCUUGGAAGUAUUAUAAGCCCACUCCUGGUCCAUACCAUAUCCGUGUUGCGGCGCGCAUUGAUGGCAAAUUGUUAUUAGAUGAAUUGCAAAGAGUGUAAACCUAAAUCAGCGGCUUUCUGUGAGCUUACUUUUAUCUUACACUAAUUCUAAGUUUGCAAAGACUAUGUUUAUACUUUCUGUCGUUUGGUUAGUAGGUACAGUAAACAAAGAAGCGCAUAUCGCCGACAGGCGCAACUUUUGCCAAAAGGGACGCAAUUGCCUAAGGUACCUUUAUUUACUGUACAAAAAUUCUAAAUCAAUUAACGGUACUACAAGAGUGUCGCUAUCAGAGCUGACCGAAACAAAAACGGCGACCUGCCUAAAUUAUUAUCGUCGCGAAACUGUGAGCACUGAUGAACGUUCUUGUAGCAACAUAUACUACCUAUAUGUUCACUGUUUGAAAUGUUUAUAAUGUUGAUGUGACUUGAAUUGUUUAUGCGUGUAAAGGAGUUGUGUUAUUUCUAUUAUGUAAUUGUUUAAUGUUCUGUUACUGGAUUAGCUUGUACUAUCUCUGUCUUGUCAAUGUUUAAAGAACAGAAUUUCCAAAUUCUAAUUUAAAAAAAAAAA